rnacentral:rRNA from 1 species
ACGAACGCUGGCGGCAGGCUUAACACAUGCAAGUCGAACGCCCCGCAAGGGGAGUGGCAGACGGGUGAGUAACGCGUGGGAAUCUACCUAGUUCUACGGAACAACUGAUGGAAACGUCAGCUAAUACCGUAUACGCCCUAAGGGGGAAAGAUUUAUCGGAAUUAGAUGAGCCCGCGUAAGAUUAGCUAGUUGGUGGGGUAAUGGCCUACCAAGGCGACGAUCUUUAGCUG